rnacentral:lncRNA from 1 species
UUCCAUUCCAUUCCAUUCCAUUAGUUUCUUAUCGGGUUGAUUCCAAUCCAUUCCAUUAUAUUCACGUCCUUUCCAUUCCAUGCCAUUCCACUCGAGCUCUUUCUAUUUUGUUGUAUUCCAUUCGAUUCCAUUCCAUUCCAUACCAUUCCAUCAAAGUUGAUUGCAUGUUAUUCCAUUCCAUUCAAUUCCAUUCCAUUCCAUUCCAUUCCAUUCCAUUCCAUUCCAUUCAAUUCCAUUCCAUUCCAUUCCAUUCCAUUCCAUUCCAUUCCAUUCCAUUCCUUUCCACUCGUGUUGAUUCCAUUCCAUUCAAUUCCGUUCCUUUCCGUUCCAUUCCAUUCCAUUCCAUUUCAUUCCAUUGCAUUCCACUCGGGUUGAUUCCAUUCCAUUCUAUUCCAUACCCUUCAGGUUGAUUCCUUUCCAUUCCAUUCCAUUCCAUACCAUUCCACUCUAUUCCGUUCCAUUCCAUUCGAGUUGAUUCCAUUCCGUUCCAUUCCGUUCCAUUCCAUUCCAUACAAUUCCACUCGGGUUGAUUCCAUACCAUUCCAUUCCAUUGCAUUCCAUUCCAUUCCAUUCCACUCGGGUUGAUUCCAUUCCAUUCCAUUCCAUUCCAUUCCAUUCCAUUCCAUUCCUUUCCACUCGGGUUGAUUUCAUUCCAUUCAAUUCCGUUCCAUUCCUUUCCAUUCCAUUUCAUUCCAUUGCAUUCCACUCGUGUUGAUUCCAUUCCCUUCCAUUCCAUUGCACUCCAUUCCAUUCCAUUCCAUACCCUUCGAGUUGAUUCCUUUACAUUCCAUUCCAUUCCAUACCAUUCCACUCCAUUCUGUUCCAUUCCAUUCGGGUUGAUUCCGUUCCAUUCCAUGAGCUUUUAUUCCAUUCCGUUCCAUUCCAUUCCAUUCCAUUCCAUCCCAUUCCAUACCAUUCCACCAAAGUUGAUUGCAUGUUAUUCCAUUUCAUUCCAUUCCAUUCCAUUCCAUUCCAUUCCAUUCCAUUCCAUUCCAUUCCAUUCCUUUCCACUCGGGUUGAUUCCAUUCCUUUCAAUUCCGUUCCGUUCCGUUCCAUUCCGUUCCAUUCCAUUCCAUUUCAUUCCAUUGCAUUCCACUAGGGUUGAUUCCGUUCCAUUCCAUUCCAUUCUAUUCCAUACCAUUCGCGUUGAUUCCUUUCCAUUCCAUUCCAUUCCAUACCAUUACACUUUUUCCGUUCCAUUCCAUUCGGGUUGAAUCCAUUCCGUUCCAUUCCGUUCCAUUCCAUUCCAUAUCAUUCCACUAGGGUUGAUUCCAUACCAUUCCAUUCCAUUGCAUUCCAUUCCAUUCCAUUCCACUCGGGUUGAUUCCAUUCCAUUCCAUUCCGUUCCAUUCCAUUCCACUGCAUUCCUUUACAUUCUAUUCCACUGCAGUUAAUUCCGUUCCAUUCCAUUCCAUUCCAUUCCAUUCCACUCCAUUCCAUUCCAUUCCGUUCCGUUCCGUUCCAUUCCAUUCAAUUCCAUUCCAUUCAAUUCCAUUCAUUCCUUUCCAUUCCAUUCCAUUCCACUCGGGUUGAUUCCAUUCCAUUCCAUUCCAUUCCAUUCCAUUAAAUUCCAUUCCAUUCCAUUCCAUUAAAUUCCAUUCCAUUCCAUUCCACUCGGGUAGAUUCCAUUCCAUUCCAUUCCAUUCCAUUCCAUUCCAUUCCACUCCUUUCCAUUAGUUUCUAAUCGGGUUGAUUCCAAUCCAUUCCAUUAUAUUCAAGUCCUUUCCAUUCCAUGCCAUUCCACUCAGGUUGUUUCCAUUUUGUUGUAUUCCAUUCCAUUCCUUUCCAUUCCAUUGCAUUCCAUUCCAUUCCAUUCCAUUCCAUUGCAUUCCAUUCCAUUGCAUUCCAUUCCAUUCCAUUCCAUUACAUUCCAUUACAUUCCAUUCCA